GCUGGGCGCCGGAAGCAAAGCAGAGGGGAAUGUGCGCCCGCUUCCGGGCCCGGACGCCAUUUUCAGCGGUUGAGUUUUGGCAGAGCUGCUAGUCGGCUCCGACAAUGAGCUACGACUAUCAUCAGAGCUGGAGCCGCGAUGGGGGCCCACGGGGCUCCGGCCAGGGCUCCAGCGGCGGCGGCGGCGGAGGGAGCCGGGGCUCGGGCGGCGGCGGAGGGGGCCGCGGCGGCCGGGGCCGGCAUCCCGCACACCUUAAGGGUCGCGAGAUCGGCCUGUGGUACGCCAAGAAGCAGACGCAGAAGAACAAGGAGGCUGAGAGGCAGGAGAGAGCUGUAGUGCACAUGGAUGAACGUCGAGAAGAGCAAAUUGUGCAGCUGCUGAAUUCAGUCCAAGCUAAGACUGACAAAGAUUCAGAAGCGCAGAUAUCCUGGUUUGCUCCUGAGGAUCAUGGGUAUGGUACUGAAGUUUCUUCAGAGAAAAAAAUAAACUCAGAGAAGAAACUUGACAACCAGGAAAAGAAAUUGCUAAACCAAGAAAAAAAGACAUUUAGGAUCACAGACAAAUCAUAUAUUGACCGAGAUUCUGAGUAUUUAUUGCAAGAAAAUGAGCCAAACCUAAGCUUAGAUCAACAUUUACUGGAAGAUUUACAAAGGAAAAAAACUGACCCUCGAUAUAUAGAGAUGCAGCGUUUCAGAAAAAAGCUGCCUUCAUAUGGAAUGCAGAAGGAGCUGGUAAAUCUAAUCAAUAACCAUCAGGUGACAGUAAUAAGUGGUGAAACUGGUUGUGGCAAAACCACUCAGGUUACGCAGUUCAUCUUGGAUAACUACAUCGAAAGAGGAAAAGGGUCUGCCUGCAGAAUAGUGUGUACUCAGCCGAGAAGAAUUAGUGCCAUUUCAGUCGCUGAGAGAGUGGCCACAGAAAGGGCAGAGUCUUGUGGCAAUGGUAAUAGUACUGGAUACCAGAUUCGUCUUCAAAGUCGGUUGCCAAGGAAACAAGGUUCUAUCUUAUACUGCACAACAGGAAUCAUUCUUCAGUGGCUCCAGUCCGACUCACGUUUGUCCAGUGUUAGUCAUAUUGUACUUGAUGAAAUUCAUGAAAGGAAUCUACAGUCGGAUGUUUUAAUGACUGUUAUUAAAGAUCUUCUCCAUUUUCGAUCUGAUCUCAAAGUAAUAUUGAUGAGUGCAACUUUGAAUGCUGAGAAAUUUUCAGAAUAUUUUGGUAACUGUCCAAUGAUACAUAUACCCGGGUUUACUUUUCCAGUUGUGGAAUAUCUUUUGGAAGAUAUCAUUGAAAAAAUAAGAUAUGUUCCAGACCAAAAAGAACAUAGAUCCCAGUUCAAGAGGGGUUUCAUGCAGGGUCAUGUAAAUAGACAAGAAAAAGAAGAAAAAGAGGCCAUCUAUAAGGAACGCUGGCCAGCGUAUAUAAAGGAACUGCGGACAAGAUACUCUGCAAGUACCGUAGAUGUUUUGCAAAUGAUGGAUGAUGAUAAAGUUGAUCUGAAUUUGAUUGCUGCCCUUAUUCGAUACAUUGUUUUGGAAGAAGAGGAUGGUGCAAUAUUGGUCUUUCUACCAGGCUGGGACAAUAUCAGUACUUUGCAUGAUCUCUUGAUGUCACAAGUGAUGUUUAAAUCAGAUAAGUUUCUCAUUAUACCUUUACAUUCACUGAUGCCUACCGUCAACCAGACACAGGUAUUUAAAAAAACUCCUCCCGGUGUUCGGAAAAUAGUAAUUGCUACCAACAUUGCAGAGACUAGCAUCACCAUAGAUGAUGUGGUUUAUGUAAUAGAUGGAGGAAAAAUUAAAGAAACACACUUUGACACACAGAACAACAUCAGUACCAUGUCUGCUGAGUGGGUUAGUAAAGCUAAUGCCAAACAGAGGAAAGGGAGAGCUGGAAGGUAAGUAGGAAAUGCUGUGCAGGGCCUUGAGAACAUGCAGAAGAAUACAUGAGCAAAUCUAGAAGUACUAUUAGAAAAGGUAUCUUGCAUAAUAUAUUGAACUCAACGCUUCGUUAUUAGUAUUUGAUUUUUGUCAUAUAAAAUGUAUUUGUACCCUUUUUAUACAUUGAUACAGUUAUACUUCCUCCUAAUUUUGUUCCCCUACUCAGAUAGUUUCUCCCUCUUCCAUGUAGCAUAUGCUGUAGUCUCUGUUUCCCAUGCCUCCUGCAUGUAGAUUCCUUUCUUCUCACUCAUCAUCUCUUACAUUUCCUGUAACUGUCGGCCUACCUGUCUAUUCACCAACUGUCUAAGUCAUCAGCAAGAUUUGAGGUUGAUUCUGCAUGGGAGCGAACGUUUGCUCCUUAUCUAUUCAUUAGUCUGAUGGUGCAUCGUGGCUCUUUGAUGAAAGCAGCACUCCGUUGGCUAAGCCAGUGCCUCUCUUCUGUGCUGACCUGGAUUCCUUUGCAUGUACACAUUGCUCAUGCAAUGUGAACUGCACGGUUGUCAUGUGCUAGUUGUCUGCAGUUUUUUGAGAACCCUCCAUAUUGCUUUGCUUGAGUUCAGCCUGGUCAUUGUUAUCAUCUGUAUAAUGGUCUUAGAGCAAGUCUUCUAGAUGACUACCAACUACCAGAAAUUUUGAGAACUCCUUUGGAAGAACUCUGUUUGCAAAUAAAGAUCUUGAGGCUGGGUGGAAUUGCUUAUUUUCUGAGUAGAUUAAUGGAUCCACCAUCAAAUGAGGCAGUGGUGCUCUCCAUAAAACACCUAAUGGAACUGAGUGCUUUGGAUAAGCAAGAAGAAUUAACACCUCUUGGUGUCCAUUUAGCCCGACUGCCUGUUGAGCCACAUAUUGGAAAAAUGAUUCUCUUUGGAGCUUUGUUCUGCUGCUUAGAUCCAGUUCUCACCAUUGCUGCCAGUCUCAGCUUUAAAGAUCCCUUUGUCAUUCCAUUGGGAAAAGAAAAGAUUGCAGAUGCAAGAAGAAAAGAACUGGCAAAGGAAACUAGAAGUGAUCACCUGACAGUUGUGAAUGCAUUUGAGGGCUGGGAAGAAGCCAAACGACGUGGUUUCAGGUAUGAAAAGGACUACUGCUGGGAAUAUUUUCUGUCUUCGAACACACUACAGAUGCUGCAUAACAUGAAGGGACAGUUUGCUGAGCAUCUUCUUGGAGCUGGAUUUGUAAGCAGUAGAAGUCCCAAAGAUCCAAAAGCUAAUAUAAAUUCAGAUAAUGAGAAGAUAAUUAAAGCUGUCAUCUGUGCUGGUUUAUAUCCCAAAGUUGCUAAAAUCCGACUAAAUUUGGGUAAAAAGAGGAAAAUGGUAAAAGUUCACACGAAGUCUGACGGCCUGGUUUCUAUUCAUCCUAAGUCUGUCAACGUGGAGCAGACAGACUUCCACUACAACUGGCUUAUCUAUCACCUGAAGAUGAGAACAAGCAGUAUAUACUUGUACGACUGUACAGAAGUGUCACCAUACUGCCUCCUGUUCUUUGGAGGAGAUAUUUCCAUCCAGAAAGAUAAGGAUCAGGAAAUUAUUGCUGUAGAUGAGUGGAUUGUGUUUCAGUCUCCAGAAAGAAUUGCCCAUCUUGUUAAGGGACUAAGAAAGGAACUGGAUAGCCUUCUACAAGAGAAGAUUGAAAGCCCUCAUCCUGUAGACUGGGACGACACUAAGUCAAGAGACUGUGCAGUACUGUCAGCUAUUCUAGACUUGAUCAAAACUCAAGAAAAGGCUACUCCAAGGAACUUGCCACCACGGUCACAGGACGGAUAUUAUAGCUGACAGCUUUCUGUGAUGGCCUAAAACCUAUCCUGGUGUCCAUAAUUUCCAAUUUUUUUCUUUUUUUUAGUUUUUGGCAAAAUGCCAAGCCCUGGGUUAUGACUUGCUUUUGUGUGUAAGUUAGAAACUUUCAUUGGGUAGUAAAGAGUUAAUGUGCAUGACUAAACAGUGCCAUCUAGCUACUAUAAAGACAUUGGAAAAAGUAAUAUGCUUUCUGACCUUAUCCUCUGUUGUAGAUAUGUCCACACUUUGGGAGAAUUCCCAAAGUUGUAACAUUGAGAAAUUCCUUUAUGCUAUUAUGCAAAAUUAAUUUUCUGUUCAUAAUGACUGUCCAGAGACAAUAAAAAUAGAAAGUUGGGCCAAAAAGCAGUAUGAAGUAAGAAUUUGAAUACAACCACAUUUUUUAAAAAUGAAAUUCUAUUAUUAGUAAAUUUGUUGUAAUAAAGUCCGAUAUUUAAUAAAAUGUACAAUGUAUAAAUCUCAGCUAACUUCUUGGUUUGGUUUCUAGAGUUCUACCUAUCACUGGGCUCACUCGAUUGCUUUUAUUUGUUUGCUUUUAUUUUUUAACUUUUUAAAAGGUUCAAUACCUACGGUCCUGUUCUGUGUAGCAUAAUGUAGCAACAGAGCAUGUGUCUGGAUGUGAUGAUGAAGGUCCUGUCUCAGCUCAUCACCUUUUCCUUAUUUGAAAGACAGGUAAAGAUUGUGAGGAUUAAAUAUGGUAACAUGUAAAGGACCACAGUGUCUGAUGCAUAUGGUCUUCACACAGUGCUUGUUACUAUUUGUCCAUAAAAUAUUUUUUAACCUUUAGUAAUCAAUUUUACCAUUUUAUUUUUUGUACUAAGGACCUUGGAGAUGGUUAGGCCAAGGGCCUCACAUACUAGAUGACUGCUAUAUUACUGAGCCACAUCCCCAGCCCUGUAAAACACCAUUUUUAUGCUUCUUUAUGCUCUUAGUGGAGGUGACAAACAAGGCUGUUUUCAGGCUUGUUAGCUAUUGUUUUCUUCCUAGUUUUGGACUCCCUUCUUUUUUUCCUGUUGUAGUCCCUACCUCUAGCUUGAAGGUGUUGCUUUUGUUCUAUCCAUGAGCCAGUGAUUAUUCUGAGAUAAUCAAGUUUGGUCUUCUUUCCCUAGUAAGUUGUGAGAUGACCAGGACAUAUGCAUAGCACUGCCAUGGAUUUGCUGCCGAUGCUGGUUCAGGUACUGCUGCCAUGUCUGAGUAUGUGUCACGUGGCAUUGUGUACAAAGAUUUGGAUGCACUGUGUCCCUUGUUUAUUUUUUUGGAUUGUCUCACCAAAAUUAUGCUUCUCCCUAAUCAUAGUGGUGGUGUUAUGGUAUUGUAGCAUAUUAGUUUUGCCCCUAAAGUCAAGGUGUGUUUACAAGCAAGUAUUUAGCCUCCACAGCAAAUGCAAAAAUGUUGUUAGAAUUGUUUUUUACAGAGAAGCAGUACACAAAAAUAAGUGAUGUCUUGCCAGCAUCUGCUGCUGUCUGACAUAGCUAAGCAAGAUAGAGGGUGGCUUGCGGGUGCUCUGAAGGUUCGGCUGCUUGUUCACAGAUUACGACUCCUAUCUGAAAAAUGCACUCCAAGACCCAGAAUGACUUGUUCUGAGUGCUCUUAAAAAAUAGCUCAUUAAGAAGAAAAAGCUGUCUCACAUCACUCUGCACAGCACAAAGGACAAACUGGAAAAAACCACUGUAACAGAAACUUAUGAGAUCUACCGCUGUUUCAAGAGCAUUAGGUACAUGCACAUGGUACCUUCCUAAUUAAUUGACCUGGAAAAAGAGCUGUAAUAAUUUUAAGUCAAUUAAUUGCAAAGUGUAUUUUUCUGCAUUUGUAAAACAAAGUCUACUCUAAAAUUAUUAUUUGGUAUCUGCACCCAGGCUAAGUAAAUGGUGGCAUAUUUCCUUCCAUUUUCAACACUGAUCUUAUAUUUAUUCUUCAGUAACUAUAAUUAUGUUUUAUAUCUAUAUAUUUGUAAUAAUCCUAUAUGUUAAACAGCAUCUUUAUUCUGAUUUUUUAAGAACCAUCUUCAUUGGAGAAUAUGGGAAAGUGUAUCCAGGAAAGUAAAUCAUGUUAUCACUGUUAGUUUUUAAUAGUCUUCCAUACUUUUUUAAGGCUUGAAGGUAGUGUGUAUAGUUAGCCAGUUUAAGAGUAUAACUUCAGUGUAUUUGGUCUACUGUGUGAAAUUGUGUAGCCAACACCGCAGUCUUCAUGUAGAACAUUCCCAUCACCCUAAGAUGUUCUCUUGUUGCUUUUACAGGUAAAAUGCCCUCCCCUGCCUGCUUCUACCCUCUGGUGCCCAGGGAGCAGCUUUUCGUCAAUACUUUUGUCUUUUGUAGGUUUUCUGGGAAUGGAUUCACACAGUCCAUGUGUCCAGCCUUUUUCAUUUAAUAUAAGCAUGGAGAUGGCUCGUGCUUACUGUACAUAUUAGUAAUUUUUAUUGUUUAGUAUUCCCUUUUAUGGUUAUGUCAUUGUAUUCAUUUACCACUUGGUGGACAUUUCAUCUAUUCUCUGCAUUUUUACUGUUUUAUGAAUAAAGCUGCUCUAAGUGUA